rnacentral:rRNA from 1 species
GAUGAACGCUGACAGAAUGCUUAACACAUGCAAGUCUACUUGAACUUCGGUUUGGGUGGCGGACGGGUGAGUAACGCGUAAAGAACUUGCCUCACAGAUAGGGACAACAUUUGGAAACGAAUGCUAAUACCUGAUAUUAUGAUUUUAGGGCAUCCUAGAAUUAUGAAAGCUAUAUGCACUGUGAGAGAGCUUUGCGUCCCAUUAGCUAGUUGGAGAGGUAACGGCUCACCAAGGCGAUGAUGGGUAGCCGGCCUGAGAGGGUGAUCGGCCACAAGGGGACUGAGACACGGCCCUUACUCCUACGGGAGGCAGCAGUGGGAAUAUUGGACAAUGGACCAAGAGUCUGAUCCAGCAAUUCUGUGUGCACGAUGAAGUUUUUCGGAAUGUAAAGUGCUUUCAGUUGGGAAGAAAAAAAUGACGGUACCAACAGAAGAAGUGACGGCUAAAUACGUG